CUGCUAUAUUUUCUAAGGAUGCACUGCAAACAAUUAGAUUAGUAUCAAGGAAGGAAAGAAGAACUGUGGCCAACAUUGGACCAACUGCUUAGAGAUGAGGAUGAUACAACUGUCUCUACGCCUUAUACUGCUGCAAACAGUCAGGGCAAAUGUGAAUAAGAACUAAG
rnacentral:sRNA from 1 species